GACGAACGCUGGCGGCGUGCCUAAUACAUGCAAGUCGAACGCAGUGGGGAUGGGUGCGUAACACGUGGGUAACCUCCCAUCAGAGGGGAUAACACUUGGAAACAGGUGCUAAACCGCUACUGAUGGAUGGACCCGCGGUGCAUUAGCUAGUGGGUGGGGUAACGGCCUAACAAGGCCACGAUGCAUAGCCGGCCGGAGAGGGUGAGCGGCCACACUGGAACGGAGACACGGCCCAGACUCCUACGGGAGGCAGCAGUAGGGAAUCUUCGGCAAUGGACGAAAGUCUGACCGAGCAACGCCGCGUGAGUGAAGAAGGUUUUCGGAUCGUAAAACUCUGUUGUUAGAGAAGCGGUAUCUAACCAGAAAGCCACGGCUAACUACGUGCCAGCAGCCGCGGUAAUUC
rnacentral:rRNA from 1 species